rnacentral:lncRNA from 1 species
CAUGUGCAUACUACCUCAAUCAGCCUGACUAACUGGUGUCUGAAUGUAGCCUCGCUACAUUUAUAGCCUUGCUACAGUAUAUAGCCUGUCUUUUUACUGUUGUUUUAUUUCUUUACUUACCUAUUGUUCACCUAACACCUUUUUUGCACUAUUGGUUAGAGCCUGUAAGUAAGCAUUUCACUGUGAGGUCUACUACACCUGUUGUUUUCGGCGCACGUGACAAAUAAACUUUGAUUCGAUCCCCUCAUAGUCUCACCUCUCCCCUUUACAACCAUUGAAUCUGUAUGUUUUGACCAUGACAGUUAACAAUCUAAGGUAACACCAAGUAAUUUAGUCUCCUCAACUUGUUCAACAGCCACACCAUUCAUUACCAGAUUCAGCUGAGAUCUAGAACUUACCAAAUGCUCUUAGUUUUAGAGAUGUUCAGGACCGGUGUAUUACUGGCCGAGCCAUUCCAAAACAGACUGCAACUCUUUGUUAAGUGUUUCAGUGACUUCAUUAGCUGUAGUUGCUGAUGCGUAUAUGGUUGAAUCAUCAGAAUACAUGGACACACAUGCUUUGUUUAAUACCAGUGGCAGGUUAUUAGAGAAGUUUCCAUUAAAGAAAUAGAAUUCUCUGAGUAUUAUGAUAUAGACGGCUCUGAAUCCACGAUAUGGCAGAGGUUGAAAAGCCAUAACACAUAUGUUUUCUCAACAACAGGUUAUGGUCAAUAAUAUCAAAACGCUCCACUGAAAAUCUAACAGUACAGCUAAAAAAAACAGAGAUCUCUCCCCAUCUUUACAACCAUUGAAUCUGUAUGUUUUGACCAUGACAGUUUACAAUCUAAGGUAACGCCAAGUAAUUUAGUCUCCUUAAGUUGUUCAACAGCCACACCAUUCAUUACCAGAUUCAUCUGAGGUCUAGAAUUUAGGCUACCUACAGCGUCACACGGUAUUUUCUUCAAUAUUCUGAAGACAAACAGCGGGACUGCAUCUAUCUACACACCACAGAUACACACCCACACACACCAUCAAACACACCACACACACAUACACCACAUACACACACAAAACACACAAAACACAUACGCCACAAACAGAGCGUGUGAGAGCACACAGCAAAGCCGGUCCCCCUGAAUGAUAAAGUAGCCAAGCGAGGGAGAGCAGGAGUGCUGACGAGCGCAGAACAAUCCUUAAUUUUAUUCAGUGUCCUCUAAAGCUUUCUGACACAUGAGCUUGUCAUAUUUCUCUUGUCCUCCGUUCCUUCUCCUUUCUUUCUCCUCCUCUUCCUCCUCGUCUUCCUCCUCCUCCUCCUCCUGUCCUCCUCUCCCGCUCUGUCUCUUCUUGUCAAGACCUGGGUAGAGCUGAGUGUUGCAUUAUGGGAGGUGGAUCUGACUCUUGCUGGCUAAUUAGCGUGACAAAGAGUGGGUGUCUCGUUGGGAUCAGACGGAGAAUUGGAACAUUACCACACCAGACAUGAUAUGGAACACAUUGUCUAGAAUUAGAACACAACACACCAGAUAUGAUAUGGAACACAUUGGGAGAAUUAGAACACAACACACCAGAUAUGAUAUGGAACACGUUGUCUAGAAUUAGAACACAACACACCAGAUAUGAUAUGGAACACAUUGUCUAGAAUUAGAACCCAACACACCAGAUAUGAUAUGGAACACGUUGUCUAGAAUUAGAACCCAUCACACCAGAUAUGAUAUGGAACACAUUGGGAGAAUUAGAACCCAACACACCAGAUAUGAUAUGGAACACAUUGUCUAGAAUUACAACCCAACACACCAGACAUGAUAUGGAACACGUUGUCUAGAAUUAGAACACAACACACCAGACAUGAUAUGGAACACAUUGUCUAGAAUUAGAACGCAACACACCAGAUAUGAUAUGGAACACGUUGUCUAGAAUUAGAACACAACACACCAGAUAUGAUAUGGAACACAUUGUCUAGAAUUAGAACACAACACACCAGAUAUGAUAUGGAACACAUUGUCUAGAAUUAGAACACAACACACCAGAUAUGAUAUGGAACACGUUGUCUAGAAUUAGAACACAACACACCAGAUAUGAUAUGGAACACGUUGUCUAGAAUUAGAACACAUCACACCAGAUAUGAUAUGGAACACGUUGUCUAGAAUUAGAACCCAACACACCAGAUAUGAUAUGGAACACGUUGUCUAGAAUUAGAACACAACACACCAGAUAUGAUAUGGAACACGUUGUCUAGAAUUAGAACCCAACACACCAGAUAUGAUAUGGAACACGUUGUCUAGAAUUAGAACACAUCACACCAGAUAUGAUAUGGAACACAUUGUCUAGAAUUAGAACGCAACACACCAGAUAUGAUAUGGAACACAUUGUCUAGAAUUAGAACGCAACACACCAGAUAUGAUAUGGAACACGUUGUCUAGAAUUAGAACACAACACACCAGAUAUGAUAUGGAACACAUUGUCUAGAAUUAGAACGCAACACACCAGAUAUGAUAUGGAACACAUUGUCUAGAAUUAGAACACAACACACCAGAUAUGAUAUGGAACACGUUGUCUAGAAUUAGAACACAACACACCAGAUAUGAUAUGGAACACAUUGUCUAGAAUUAGAACGCAACACACCAGAUAUGAUAUGGAACACAUUGUCUAGAAUUAGAACGCAACACACCAGAUAUGAUAUGGAACACAUUGGGAGAAUUAGAACCCAACACACCAGAUAUGAUAUGGAACACGUUGUCUAGAAUUAGAACGCAACACACCAGAUAUGCUACAGAUGGCGUCAGGGAUAAGGAGGAAGCGACACCUGUUGAAGUCUAAUUAGCUCAACACAGAGACAUGGUUGAGUCACGGAGACUGAGGUUUCCAACAGCAAUGCCGGGGCAGAGCUCCCCUGAUGCUCUCUGUUCACAAUGCUACUCGCUAAGACUAGAUAGGCUAACUGUAAACAGAGAAAAUUUGUCACUGAAACAAUCAAAAGGUCAAUACUUAGCAGUCAAAUCCACCAGUGCCGAGUGACACAGACCCGAAGAAUGACUGAGUAACACACAAUGCUAGUCUGCUAAUAUUAGUUACUGUUUAGACUUUUAAAGGUGAUAUAUAGUUAAAGACAUGCUCUGAUACUCUGCGACAUCUUUCCCGCUUUGGGCUGGAUGUGUCAAUGUGUAGUUCAUACAUGCAGAAUCUAUGAGGAGAAUGUAUGUCUUGACUAAAUUAGCCAUGGAAUCCCUAGUUUGAAAGCAACUGUUUUCUGGAAGAUUUGCUGCGCUGUUUCCUCUAAAUUUCCCCCCACGUGGGCCAGCCCCUUAGCAAUUUUAGUUCCAGCCAAUGAGAUUCAGUUCCUUGCUAUUUUAUUUUAUUUUAUUAGGUUCUCUUUUAGUCCUUAUUUGGACUAAUCUUCCAAGAAUCUUUAAACAUUAAAAUACAAUUUAUUAUACGAUCAUAUUUUCACAUAUAAACACACUGUUACAAACAGACAUAAUAUACUGACAUAUUGACUAGAUAAAUACUCUAACAGUCUGAAAAUAUGUAUUCCUUCAUCUACUAUAGUUCUGCACAACCUUCCAAUUUAUUAUAUUUAAAUGGUCCUAAAGUAUUAUUUUAAUUUACAUAUUGAAAGGUUUCUGGUUUGCUCAGAUAAAUUAUUACAUUUCUUUAUUGCUCUGAAUCAAAAUGUUAUUUUGCCUAUUUCUCUUUUCUGUCUGGAUAACACAUAGAUGGUGGACAAUCUAUUCCUAGUAUUGACUGACUGUCUGUCUCUUACCAACUGAAUACUGUUGUAAAUGGAGUUUGGCUAUAUUGUAAGUCGCUCUGGAUAAGAGCUGGUGGAACAGACCAGCUUAACCUUGGUUUUCUUGGUGUUUAAAACAAGUUUGUUCCGGCAAACCGACUCCCUGAAAUUUCCCAGAUCUACUUGUAGAGAUUGUUGUACCAAGACCAAUUGUCUUGCUGUAUAAAUUGUAGUAUAGAGUAGCUUGAGUUUCAGAUAAGGCAUAAGGAAGGUCAUUGGUAUAUAUUAAGUAAAGAAGUGGCCCAAGGCAGCUACCCUGCGGUAUUCCACAGUUUAAAGCAUGAGGGGAAGAAAACAACCCAUAGAUAUAGCUGGACCAUUUCCUUUCAGUUAG